UACGUAGGGGGCAAGCGUUGUCCGGAAUCAUUGGGCGUAAAGAGCGUGUAGGCGGCCAGAUAAGUCCGCUGUGAAAACUCGAGGCUCAACUUCGAGCUGUCGGUGGAAACUAUUUGGCUAGAGUCCGGAAGAGGAGAGUGGAAUUCCUGGUGUAGCGGUGAAAUGCGCAGAUAUCAGGAAGAACACCCGUGGCGAAGGCGGCUCACUGGCCCGGUACUGACGCUGAGGUGCGAAAGCGUGGGGAGCAAACAGG
rnacentral:rRNA from 1 species